rnacentral:rRNA from 1 species
UAAUAUAUCGGAACGUACCUUAUCGUGGGGGAUAACGCAGCGAAAGCUGCGCUAAUACCGCAUACGCCCUGAGGGGAAAGCGGGGGACCGUAAGGCCUCGCGCGAUUAGAGCGGCCGAUAUCUGAUUAGGUAGUUGGUGGGGUAAAGGCUCACCAAGCCAACGAUCUGUAGCUGGUCUGAGAGGACGACCAGCCACACUGGAACUGAGACACGGUCCAGACUCCUACGGGAGGCAGCAGUAAGGAAUAUUGGGCAAUGGACGCAAGUCUGACCCAGCCAUCCCGCGUGCAGGACGAAUGCCCUAUGGGUUGUAAACUGCUUUUGUUUGGGAAGAAAUGUAUUCUUUUAAGAGUAUUUGACGGUACCAGACGAAUAAGCACCGGCUAACUCCGUG